rnacentral:rRNA from 1 species
UACGUAGGGGGCGAGCGUUGUCCGGAUUUAUUGGGCGUAAAGAGCUCGUAGGCGGCUUGUCGCGUCGACUGUGAAAACCCAUGGCUCAACCAUGCGGUCUGCAGUCGAUACGGGCAGGCUAGAAUUCGGUAGGGGAGACUGGAAUUCCUGGUGUAGCGGUGAAAUGCGCAGAUAUCAGGAGGAACACCGGUGGCGAAGGCGGGCAUC